GCGUGAGUGAUGAAGGCCCUAGGGUUGUAAAGCUCUUUCGCACGCGACGAUAAUGACGGUAGCGUGAGAAGAAGCCCCGGCUAACUUCGUGCCAGCAGCCGCGGUAAUACGAAGGGGGCUAGCGUUGCUCGGAAUCACUGGGCGUAAAGGGCGCGUAGGCGGCCGGCCAAGUCGGGGGUGAAAGCCUGUGGCUCAACCACAGAAUGGCCCUCGAUACUGGACGGCUCGAGACCGGAAGAGGUUGGUGGAAUUGCGAGUGUAGAGGUGAAAUUCGU
rnacentral:rRNA from 1 species